GGCGAAGUGGCGCAAUGGUAGCGUGUGGUCCUCCUAUAGAGUGCUAAGACUGAGGUUGUGGGUUCGAGUCCCAUCUUCGUCG